rnacentral:misc_RNA from 1 species
CGUUGAGCCCGACGCUGCUGCC